UAACAAAUGACAUCCACGUUCUAAAUCUCGAAUCUGCUGACCAAUAUCAGCACCACCAUAAACAACACAAGGACGAACUCUUGACCGCCUUCAAAGCCUCGCCUGGACCGUCUCUAUAAAUUUGACUUAAGAUGGGCAACAGAAAUGCUGCAGUUUUUCCAGACCCUGUCAAAAAAAACCUUGUAUUUCAAAUACAUUUUCAGUGAAAUAAAAUUUUCACUGCCCAGUAUUUUGAGAAAAUAGAUUUAUAAAAUCAAGCAAAGAAUGCCAAAUGAAUUCUGUAAUCCAUUUUAAACUAUGCCAAUACUCAAUUCUUUACAUUUUAAGGUAUAUGAAAACAAUCACCUUGCCUCUCCCAUGGCAUCAACUUCCACUUCUAUAUACUAUUGGUAUGUACAACAGGAGUCCACAAACUUUUUAAGACUUUAACAGUGAAGUCCUUUGUGCACUGGUCUCUACUUUUGCAGAAUAAAGCCUUGGUUUUAAUUGUGCCAAUAAAA